rnacentral:rRNA from 1 species
ACGCUCGACACCUACGGUAGGCAGCAGUGGGGAAUAUUGCACAAUGGGGGAAACCCUGAUGCAGCGACGCCGCGUGAGCGAAGAAGUAUUUCGGUGUGUAAAGCUCUAUCAGCAGGGAAGAAACUGACGGUACCUGACUAAGAAGCACCGGCUAAAUACGUGCCAACAGCCGCGGUAAUCUGAGCGGGCUGGCAAGGC